rnacentral:rRNA from 1 species
AGAGUUUGAUCCUGGCUCAGGACGAACGCUGGCGGCGCGCCUAACACAUGCAAGUCGAACGGAGCUGAGAGGAGCUUGCUUUUCUUAGCUUAGUGGCGAACGGGUGAGUAACGCGUGAGUAACCUGCCCUGGAGUGGGGGACAACAGUUGGAAACGACUGCUAAUACCGCAUAAGCCCACGGAUCCGCAUGGAUCUGCGGGAAAAGGAUUUAUUCGCUUCAGGAUGGACUCGCGUCCAAUUAGCUAGUUGGUGAGGUAACGGCCCACCAAGGCGACGAUUGGUAGCCGGACUGAGAGGUUGAACGGCCACAUUGGGACUGAGACACGGCCCAGACUCCUACGGGAGGCAGCAGUGGGGAAUAUUGCACAAUGGGGGAAACCCUGAUGCAGCGACGCCGCGUGGAGGAAGAAGGUUUUCGGAUUGUAAACUCCUGUCGUUAGGGACGAUAAUGACGGUACCUAACAAGAAAGCACCGGCUAACUACGUGCCAGCAGCCGCGGUAAAACGUAGGGUGCAAGCGUUGUCCGGAAUUACUGGGUGUAAAGGGAGCGCAGGCGGACCGGCAAGUUGGAAGUGAAAACUAUGGGCUCAACCCAUAAAUUGCUUUCAAAACUGCUGGCCUUGAGUAGUGCAGAGGUAGGUGGAAUUCCCGGUGUAGCGGUGGAAUGCGUAGAUAUCGGGAGGAACACCAGUGGCGAAGGCGACCUACUGGGCACCAACUGACGCUGAGGCUCGAAAGCAUGGGUAGCAAACAGGAUUAGAUACCCUGGUAGUCCAUGCCGUAAACGAUGAUUACUAGGUGUUGGAGGAUUGACCCCUUCAGUGCCGCAGUUAACACAAUAAGUAAUCCACCUGGGGAGUACGACCGCAAGGUUGAAACUCAAAGGAAUUGACGGGGGCCCGCACAAGCAGUGGAGUAUGUGGUUUAAUUCGA